GCCCCAGAGACUCCCGGGAUGUUUGUCACACAGCAGCACUUCAGCAAAGCUGACUGACUCUCUGUCCUCGCCACCCACGGGACCUCACAACGUGUCUUCCUUCCGGACACCCCUCGUCGCUUCCUUACUCCACGUUGCUGUUUCUUUCCCACAGCACUGGCUAGCUACAUAAUUUAAUUCACUUAUCAUGUCUAUUGUUUUGUGUCCUCUCCCUUGCUUGGAGGUUAAGCCCAGGAGGGCAGGGCCCUGGGUCUGCUGUGGUCUCCAGCACAUUCCAGAUGCCCCAGGACAGCAAUCACAGGCAACAGGUGCUCAGUGAGCGUUUUUGAGUGAAUGAAUGAAUGAAAAGCGUGCUCAUGGGUGGACAGCUGGCAUACCACCAAGGAAAGACCUUGGCUCUUUGCAGGCAGGAGUCCCUGCGUAGCAGCCGGGCCCAGAGCUGGGCAACCCUGGGAUGUGGUUCUGCUUACCCAGGCAAGCCUGUGACUCCCAAGUCUGGGCCAGAAAUCCCAGAGCCUCAGAAGAAAUUGGAGAAAACAAGAGGGGCUCCCUGCAGCCUGGGCUCUGUCCCUGUGGCUCUGGGGAGAAGGUUUAGAAGGGGCUCCCUCUGUGAAGCUGUGCUCUGGGACUGGGACAGCCGCCGGGCUCCCAGUCUCAGUAUACGUCCCAGGUGCCCAGGGCCCCAGUGACAAGAAGGGGCCUGGCCAGGUUCUGGGGAUAGAGGCUUGUGGAAACAUCAUCAGACUUUCGGCGUCUGACUCCAGGGCUGGGCCUUUCCCUGACACCAGCCUGGGACUUGGCCUGAGGACUGUUGACUGUUUGGGCAGCCCCAUACCCAGCCAAUCAAUUCCUGGGGUGGGGAGCAGGCGCUGGCAUUCUUUCACAAGCUCCCUGGGCCUAAGAACUGCCGGUCUUUAUUCCUCCGCUCUCCAAAACAGGCGACCCGAUCACCAGCGCUUUAUUGAAAACGGGAGCGUCACAUCAAGCCCUAAGGUACGGAGCGUGGAGACGCUUCCUAGUGUGGAAAUCGGUCGGAAAGUGCCGAAACAGAUGGAAAGUCAAGAAGAGGCACAAAAGCAGAGCCCACAGCAGAGAGCUUCCCAGACAAGACCAUGACACCAGCUAAGGCGGAAUCUCAGAUAGAAAUUCCACGUUCAGUGCCGUACCCAGGAAGAGACUGUUUCUGCAGAUCCCCAGCAUGGAGAGUCCUGGACUGCAUCCACAUUGAGGGCACCAACCUGGCCAUGUCGGCGACCAGCAGCCUUGGGAGGUGGGGCCGGGGUCAGCAUGCUCGUGGGAAAGCUGGACCACAGGCUCUGGGAGGCCGAAGGAUGGAUGGCAUGACCACCGCCCCGCCUCCCGCCCCCAGCAUUUUCCUCUAAAGGAGACGACAGGUUGGGGAGAGGAUGCCAUUCUCUCUCUCCACCUUUAUUUUCGGAGCCACCUACUUUUUUUUUUUUUUUUUUUUUAGUGUUUAUUUCUUUA